UGAGGAAUAUUGGGUCAAUGGGGCGUGAGCCUGAACCAGCCAAGUAGCGUGCAGGAUGACGGCCCUAUGGGUUGUAAACUGCUUUUAUGCGGGGAUAAAAUCGGCCACGUGUGGCUGUUUGCAGGUACCGCAUGAAUAAGGACCGGCUAAUUCCGUGCCAGCAGCCGCGGUAAUACGGAAGGUUCGGGCGUUAUCCGGAUUUAUUGGGUUUAAAGGGAGCGUAGGCUGGAGAUUAAGCGUGUUGUGAAAUGCCGCGGCUCAACCGUGGCCCUGCAGCGCGAACUGGUUUUCUUGAGUGCGCUGAAAGCGGGCGGAAUUUGUGGUGUAGCGGUGAAAUGCUUA
rnacentral:rRNA from 1 species